UCGGUUAUGGGACUCCUUUUA
ensembl:piRNA 21ur-530 ncRNA